rnacentral:lncRNA from 1 species
ACAAUCAAGUACUUCCCAUCUGGGGUGAACCUAAGAGGAAAGAGAAUUCAUAAUAAGGACCAAGCCUUCACUGUGUGCCCUUGGCUGUACCCUGGAGUGGACUGGCUUAGCAGCCUGGAGAGGCAUGCUGCAGAUUUUCAGGUUAGAGUUCAUGGCUCCUGGGGCACAAUGCACCUUCCGGUUCCUGAGACUGAAGCACUCCCUCAGGCAGGGAAGGAUUCAGGCCGCUUUGUAUUUCUCAGUAAGUUCCCUUGGAAGGCAAGGGAGCCUGGAAGCUUAACCGGACAGUUGGCCUUAGACAUUAACCUUGUAUAGCCUGUACAGUUGGCAAACAUCUAUGUAUCCUGACUACAACUAUAUUGAUCCUGGCGACUGCCAUUGCAUUCUACUUCUGAUAAAGGUCUAGAAGAUCUGAUUGCUCUCAACAAAAUUGCCACAGCUUAAGUGUUGCUGUGGACCCUUUAAUGGCCUGGUUUCAUUCCUCCUGGCCAUAUCAGGGGAUCAUGGCCCAGUACUUACUGGCAGGUAAGUGUGGGGUGCUUACACUCGCCAAUGCUCAACAACAGUGGCCAUCAUUGUCUGAGGGGUUCUUUAAUGAAUUUAAAUUGUAUAGAAUUCUGUGAUAAUAGAUGAAGCUAAAGAUAUGCCUACUUUAAAACAAAACACAACAUAACAUAAUGAAAGGAGAAUUAGAAGUUGGGCGGGUUCAGCAGUGUGGACUCCGGCUGAGAUCCUCCUAUGAUUAGGAAUCUCUCAAAGGAUUCGGAACUCUCAGAUAUCUAACCUCUUUGGACUCUUGUUUCCUUCCACUUUCCCUUGCUUAAAAUCAACAAUAAACACUUUAAACUUUUGGCCACUCUUCAGAAGAAGUGGGUCUCACAGCCAGCUAAAGCAAGCAUUUAACACAACCAGGAGCGAUUACCUCACAGCAGAAGGCCCCUCCUCUGUGAAACAGUUGUCCCAUGCUCCUAACCACUCUCCAGUGUCCUUAUCAAAUACUUGGAGCCUCUUAUUUCCUCGGUCCGCAACCCACACCUGAGAAACCAAGAAAAUAAUGUCAAUGGGGAGAGACCCACAGCACGAGAAGAAACACGAGUAGUCUUAUCAGCUGCACAUACACGGUCUCAGUUAGUGCUCGGAGGACCCCAAGGAAGAUGGCAUCACUAAGCUCCAUUUUCAGAGGGGUUACACACCUUGUCUGCAAAGCACUAGGAAGUGCAAAUGCUACAGUCUAAUCAACACCUGCAUCAGUCAGCCUAAAGGAACAGAGCCAUCGACUACAUUGAACGUGGAAGCAGAUAAAACCUGAGUCGUCCACACAGUGCAAAAGAUCAGAGACUCUGACAGGGUGCAGACUCUCCCGUCUCUUUACGUCUCAUCACCAUCACUGACAACUGAAGCAGCAGCUCCUAAGCCAGGUCCAAGACAGAGCCAGGCAUGACCCCUCAGAGCUCGUGGUGGAGGAUCUCUGGAUGCCUGCUUUACCUCCUGUGUUAGAGACCACGUUCACCCCGAAGGACAGACUUGCCAGAAAUAACUCCCAGCAUUUUGCUUAUUUUAAAACGCAUUUGGACUAUCUCUGACUUCCUGAAAACCCCUCAGACUGCUAGCAGAGCACAACUCUGAGAUCCUCAGAGCAGCUUCAAUGGCCGCCACCUUUCCUUCUGGCCGCUGAGAAAGCCAUGCUGUUUCCAUUCCAGCUCAGGGCUCCCAUGGACCUGGACACCACUGGCCCUGCUGGCCCUGUCUACAGCUCAGCCAAGGGUGGCCUCUUCAGGAACUCUGCUGUGCCUCUCCAAUUCCGGUUUGCCUUCUGGUUACUAUCCUAGCUUGAAAGUCUUUGUCACAGAUGAGUUUAAUUGUUCUGUUAGGAACAGACUUGCUGCUGUGGUGGCCACAGAGGGCCUAGUUAGAGCCUUACUGUUAGCCUGCAGGAGGCCUGCCAGGGAUCUCUCGCUUCCUGACUUCCCCACAAUAAACAGGACAGAAAAUCU